UACGUAGGGCGCAAGCGUUUAUCCGGAAUUAUUGGGCGUAAAGAGCUCGUAGGCGGUUUGUCGCGUCUGCCGUGAAAGUCCGGGGCUCAACUCCGGAUCUGCGGUGGGUACGGGCAGACUAGAGUGCGGUAGGGGAGAUUGGAAUUCCUGGUGUAGCGGUGGAAUGCGCAGAUAUCAGGAGGAACACCAGAGUGGCGAAGGCAGGUCUCUGGGCCACUACUGACGCUGAGAAGCGAAAGCAUGGGGAGCGAACAGG
rnacentral:rRNA from 1 species